UGGGCCUAGUAACUCGGCACUGAGUCCUUGUGGCCAGUGUCAUCGGGUUACUGGCUCAUUUAUUUUGUUGGGCGCCCGUUUCUGCUUUUUCGGAAGCUGGGAACGUGUUGUGCUCAACACUUUUACUUUGAAAAAAUUAGAGUGUUCAAAGCAGGCUUUUUAAGCUUGAAUAUCUUAGCAUGGAAUAAUAGAAUAGGACUUUGGUUCUAUUUUGUUGGUUUAUAGGACUAGAGUA
rnacentral:rRNA from 1 species